rnacentral:rRNA from 1 species
GACGAACGCUGGCGGCGUGCCUAAUAUAUGCAAGUUGAGCGAUGAAGAUUGGUGCUUGCACCAAUUUGAAGAGCAGCGAACGGGUGAGUAACGCGUGGGGAAUCUGCCUUUGAGCGGGGGACAACAUUUGGAAACGAAUGCUAAUACCGCAUAACAACUUUAAACAUAAGUUUUAAGUUUGAAAGAUGCAAUUGCAUCACUCAAAGAUGAUCCCGCGUUGUAUUAGCUAGUUGGUGAGGUAAAGGCUCACCAAGGCGAUGAUACAUAGCCGACCUGAGAGGGUGAUCGGCCACAUUGGGACUGAGACACGGCCCAAACGCCUACGGGAGGCAGCAGUAGGGAAUCUUCGGCAAUAGACGAAAGUCUGACCGAGCAACGCCGCGUGAGUGAAGAAGGUUUUCGGAUCGUAAAACUCUGUUGGUAGAGAAGAACGUUGGUGAGAGUGGAAAGCUCAUCAAGUGACGGUAACUACCCAGAAAGGGACGGCUAACUACGUG